GAAAGUGGAAUUCCAUGUGUAGCGGUGAAAUGCGCAGAGAUAUGGAGGAACACCAGUGGCGAAGGCGGCUUUCUGGUCUGUAACUGACGCUGAUGUGCGAAAGCGUGGGGAUCAAACAGGAUUAGAUGCCCUGGUAGUCCACGCCGUAAACGAUGAGUGCUAAGUGUUAGGGGGUUUCCGCCCCUUAGUGCUGCAGCUAACGCAUUAAGCACUCCGCCUGGGGAGUACGGUCGCAAGACUGAAACUCAAAGGAA
rnacentral:rRNA from 1 species